rnacentral:rRNA from 1 species
CAGUCGCCACGGUAAUACGAAGGGGGCUAGCGUUGUUCGGAAUUACUGGGCGUAAAGCGUACGUAGGCGGAUUGUUAAGUGAGGGGUGAAAUCCCGAGGCUCAACCUCGGAACUGCCUUUCAUACUGGCAAUCUUGAGUCCGGGAGAGGUGAGUGGAACUCCUAGUGUAGAGGUGAAAUUCGUAGAUAUUAGGAAGAACACCAGUGGCGAAGGCGGCUCACUGGCCCGGAACUGACGCUGAGGUACGAAAGCGUGGGGAGCAAACAGGAUUAGAUACCCGCGUAGUCCCUGUCUCUUAUAC